UCGCCGCCUCACGCGCGGCGCUCCACACUGGAAAGCUCGUGUCCGUUUCUGGAAGCCCGCCAUUUGUGUGGCAAGCGCGUCAUCGGCCGGCUCGUGCGGUGGUGCUGCGAGCUGCAUCCUAUUGCGGCGCCCAUCGCGUGUCCUUCCCCCGGCAACAUCCUUCUUGCUUAGUCGAAGUUUUUGAUUCUCUUCUUCUGCGAUUGCUCUACGUCACGCUCCUUUGAUUUUGUGUUUUCGAUACUCUGCAGCAGCUGUCUGGCACAUCUUUCGUUUUCUUUGCAGCAAUGAAGUGGCUGCGCCGCCUGAUGCUGCGUAAAAAGCGCACGCCGCUCCCGCCAAAGCCGUAUGUGGACACGGCCUCAACGGGGCGGCACAUGCUAGACGCGCGGUUGUACGACAGCGAUGACCUCGCCCAGAUCGACCCCGAAAAACCACACUGGCAGGACAUGCGCUUCGAGUCUCGUGAAAGAGUGCCGUUUUUCGAUGUCUUUGGGUACAAUCGGGACUGGAGCUGGUCGCUCUUCAAGGUGUCGAGCCUGUUCUUUGUGAUGAUCUUCUACUGGGAGAUGCGCUCUUUUGCCUACAUGAAGAACGACCCGAUUAAGAUAACGUCGACGACCACGGUGUCGCCCGUACCAGACUACGCCAGGGACGAAAAGGCGACGGAGGAAGAGCUGCGCGAAGCUGGCUUCGCGUACGUUGGCUUGGAGAAGCUUGACAACCUAGGCAUAUCGGCGGCAUCGUCGUGCGAGGCCGACCACAAGGCGUGACGACGGCGUUUUCGAUUGAGCUUCAGCAGCUGACAUGUCCUGGCGGACCCGCGCUGAGGCGACUUUCUUCCUGGCGGUCUGGCUAUCGGCUGGACUCUGUUUUGUCGAGAGACGAAGCGAUGUGUGCUUAGAGGCGCUCGUCAAUGUCUCUCGGUGGAUCUCUCCUCUGGAGAACCGCAGCCCCCUUCCCACGUGUACGGAAUCGCUUGUGCGUGCCGCUGCUGAUAUACUCAGCGUCUCCUUCUCGCAGCGCAUCUCAAGCUCACAAAACUUGGGGGGGGGGAGGAGGACGACGCGGAGAGGGGAGGGGGAGUGCGGGGGGACUCCGCAGUCAGUCAAGCAGCACCGCACACAAGCACACACAAGGAAAGACCCGCAGCGCUUGAGGGUGCUUUGCGGGGUUGUCCCGCAGGACUGUUGUAUGUGUGGAUGAGUACCCGAUGCUCCACGACGCGCCUUUCUUUUCACCGGCCACACACGCUCAAAUUUUACUUGUCUCUCCCCAUCGCCGCCUCCGCCGCCUUCUUGUGCAUCUCUUCACCUGCUUCGGCCCUCUCCCCAUCCACUUAUUUUUGUUGUUCUCUCGUUGGAUGCCAG
rnacentral:misc_RNA from 1 species